UACGUAGGGGGCAAGCGUUGUCCGGAAUUAUUGGGCGUAAAGCGCGCGCAGGCGGCCUUUUAAGUCUGAUGUGAAAGCCCACGGCUCAACCGUGGAAGGUCAUUGGAAACUGAAAGGCUUGAGUACAGAAGAGGAAAGCGGAAUUCCACGUGUAGCGGUGAAAUGCGUAGAGAUGUGGAGGAACACCAGUGGCGAAGGCGGCUUUCUGGUCUGUAACUGACGCUGAGGCGCGAAAGCGUGGGGAGCAAACAGG
rnacentral:rRNA from 1 species